UUCUACUCCAACAUAUUCAUAUACAUCGGUCGGAACAAUUACCAGAACAUCGAUCUCGAGUGCCCAGAGCUAGCAUUCUGCAGUACCCUAUCUGAAACCGAGCUCCACCACCCACUUCCACUACGGUCUGGUGGUGAUUGCAUUGAUUGCUGUCUUGCUCGUAGCUUACAACCUAAUGUUCGUCAUGUGGUGUCAGCAACAUCCUUUACGACGACUUGGUGGAAGAUCAGACGACCCAUCAGGAAAAAUGAUCAGCGGACAGCGGGAAUGAGACUGAGAAUCCAAAUGGGGGAUUAGCUGCAGAUCUUAAACGCAGGAAGGACACCCAUAAUGUACAGGAGUCUGAACGAGUGUUCCGUGUGCUUGUCGGUUUUUGUUGAUGGCGAAGAUAUUCGGCAGCUAGCCUUGUGCAAGCACACCUUCCAUGCUCCUUGCAUAGAUAUGUGGCUCCAUUCUCACUCCAGUUGUUCACUUUGUCGCGCCUCUGUCGUGGAGCUCCGCCCAGAUAUCUGGGAAUUGGCCGAAGAAAAUGAUUUAAGGCUAGGAAUGGCGGAUUCAAGGAGAGCUUUAGUGUGAGUCUUUUCUGCCGAGCCUAGCUAGCUAUUUGUUCGCACUUCUCCAUCGCUUAAUUACUGUGAUAAUGUUGGAUGUAAAGCUGGGGUCAUAGACUCAUAGCUUUGUCGCCCUAUGUAUUUUAUACACCCCAACCUAAUUACAGCUUAUAUAUUACCAUUCCGUCGUACUCAUGUGCAAUCAACCUCGAUCUGCUUGAGUUCAAACACAAGGUGGACCUUAACUGCCGCCGGUAAAGCUUGGUAGCGAGACCUGCGGCCUAAUGUUGAUGCCGAAAGGCCAUCUGAUCAUGAGUUACAGAAACUGGCCGGCCGGGACUAUGAUCUGAUCGAGUUUUGACCAUAUCAAAGUUCUGGGUAGCCAAGUUUCGCAUCCCCAAUACACGCAUUACGUAGAUUUUGUACAGGAAAUGAGAUUAGUUAGUUCAGAUUUGGGAUUUGGUUAAUUACCUUGAGGCAA